rnacentral:lncRNA from 1 species
GGAGAUGGUGGCAGUGUGCGGGGCGGUGGGAUCCGGCAAGUCAACGCUGCUCUGUAGCCUUCUCGGGGAGGUGACGCGGGUGAGCGGGGGCGGCGGCGCCGCCAGUAAGGUCGCCGGAAGGAGGGCGUACGUGCCGCAGAGGGCGUGGCUGCAGACGGGGACGGUGAGGGAGAACAUACUCUUCGGCAAGGCCAUGGAUCGGGGGAGGUACGAGGAGGUGCUGAGGGCCUGCGCUCUGGACAGGGACAUGGAGGGGUGGGAGGGCGGCGACCAGGCGGCGGUGGGCGAGCGGGGGGUCAACCUCAGCGGCGGCCAGAAGCAGAGGAUUCAGCUGGCGAGGGCCAUCUACAGCGGCGCCGACGUCUUCUUCCUCGACGACCCCUUCAGCGCCGUCGACGCCCACACCGCCUCCCACCUCUUCAAGGUAAGACAGAGAGAGGCAGACAGCCCCGUCUCUUUCUCUCUCUAAAAGAAAGAAAACUCACCGGAGCAGCGGGUGCUCACAGGAAUGCCUGAUGAAUCUGCUGGCCCAGAAGACCGUCGUCUUCGUCACCCACCAGCUGGAGUUCUUGCACGCCGCCGACGUCGUCCUGGUAAGUCAGCUCCUGCUUCUUCAUCUUGGUGAUCUCUGCAAGUCGGUUAAUCGGAUCAAAUGGGGAACGAUCUGCACCUCGGCAGGUGAUGAAGGAAGGGAGGAUUGUCCAGGCGGGGAAGUACGAGAACCUGGUCGCCGACGCCAGCGGCGGCGAGUUCCUCCGGCAGAUGGCGGCCCACGAGAGCUCCCUCAGCCAGAUGCCAGUGUCGGAGGAGAAGCACGCCGGGAAGGCCUGCGCCGCCGCCGCUGCAAUCUCCGGCGGCGGGGACGAGCUCAG